GAGGCCAGGCAUAUGCCUGGCUGUCUUAGCAAACCUACGGGCUAAAUUCUGUGUCCUGUGACACCUCCAAACAAUCGCUUCUGCCCAGGUUCAGAAGCCCGCACCCCAAGGCUGGGUGUGAGCCUGAGAGGGGGCCAGAGUGUCCCCACUCCCCGGGAGAGGCGCCUUGGAGAGAGGCAAUGGGUCUAGCUGCGCUGGAGGGCUCGGCCCUGCUGAGUUCACCCCACUUUUCACAGCAGCCAGUGGAUGAAUCAGGUGGAGAUGGGAGGGGUGGGGAGAGAAGAGUGUGGAAAUCGUCCCGGGUGGUGGUGGAGGUCUCUUCGCCCCCCCCCAGCCCCCUAGUAGAAGCUGCUGUGGGAGAAGGGUCCGUGUUCCCCACACCCUGACUUUGGGGUGAGUGUCUCUCAAUGCUUUAGCCUUACACGCUGCCACGGGGCUGUGACCCAGCGUGACCCUCGCCCCCGACCCCCAGCACAGGCAGACAGAGCACCCCCAGGUGCCCUGAUCCCAGCCAGGUUCUCAGGCUCAGAGAGCUUCCCCGGCUUCUCAGACAAAGUCCCAAGUUCAAGUCCGCGCUGACGGGCUUUGCCAUGGGAUUCUCAGCUCCUUUCCAUCCCCGCCUUUUGUUCGCCUCUGACAAUUGCUCUUUAUUCCCCCCCUCGCCCCCGCCCGCCCUCCCUCCCUUCUGUACUUGGCACCGUUUAGCAGCCUGACUGCAAACUUAACAACCCUGGUUCUUGGUAAAAGCACUCAAAUUACCCUUCUUUCUACAUAUAUACAUUUCCCGGGGAGUGCGCGUCUCCCUGCUACAAGGGCUCAGGGGUGCCAUGCCUGUCCCCUAGUGCACGACCCAGAGUCCCUUCACACGGGAACUCAGGGGCUUGCUCUCAAAGUUAAGCUUCCAAAGCCCCUAGAGACAACUUGCUGCUAAAGUCUGUAAGACACUGUGCUAGCAGGAGGAGAGAAUAAGCCUGAAAGAUUCAGCAGCUCUUCUCUCUGGGGCUUCCCAAAGCCAAGGCAGACGCGGGACUGCGCUCAGCUCUGUUCUCUCCAGUUUCUAAGGAGCCACAUGCUAGAGGGACAAGACCUGCAAUGUGGAGGGGAACCCUGGAACAGAGAACUAGUCCAGGAUCGGAUACUACCUAAAGAAAGAUACCCAGUGGCACCUGCCAUAGGUGCUGAUGAUGGGUCAAGCACCACACUAAGCACAGCGCUGACCUUCAGAAGUGCCAGGCAGAGCAUGUAGAAGAUCGGACACUUUUAGAGAGAUGACCACUACCCCAGUGCAUGGGACGGAAGAGGGAGCAACCAACAGAAGCUGUUGUAAAUGCAGCCAUCUAAGAGAGAAGGCAAACCUAGCAGCCAGACUGUCUGUGAGGAUGUGGGACAAGCAUGUAGUGUGUGGAGCCUGCACCGAGAAGCCCUGUAGCACACCCCUCACCCUAGCCACGGAAAGAGAAUUAGUCACAUGAGAGUGGGGGGGCACACUAGGCAGAAGUGUUAGAGUCUGGUGUGCAGUCACAUGUCCGAGACUCUGUGAUGCUGGCAAACCAGGUGCCAGCCUAUACCAAGGUCCCCAUGCCUCACUUGGAUCCUGACAAACACAGAGCUGGAAUCAGCCUGGCUUACUGUUAAAACAGGGAUUAGAAUGAUAAAAAAAAAUGUCCUGAGGGUAUAGACUUCAUGGAAUGCUUGUAAAUUGCUGCUUGCAUUAAUCUCACUUAUAACAUCUGUCUCCCGGUAAUAUUUGAGUGUUUGCAUUGCAAGCCUCUGUGACUGUGGAAAUCACCAGACAGGAGAGAAGCAUUAUCUAGUGUAAAAUACCAGUCUCCAACAGGUGUUAUGUCCUGCCUGACAAAAAAGGCCCAUCAACAGCAGACGAACUAUUGCAGAACAUCAGUGGACAAAAGGGUUUGUUGCUUGCUUUCCCCCACACCUCAGGAAGAGGAAAGGUGCAAGUGAAUUCCUCCCAUUAGCCGAGUUUGCAACUCGAAGCAGAAGGGGGGGAAGGAAUAAAAACCCUUCACAAGGAGGAACUGUAGUUUUAUGCUGCUUGGAGUCUGAGGGGCAAAGAUUACUAAGCAUAACCAAAAGAUCCCCCUGAGUUAGCCCUAAAGGACACAGAGAGCUUGCUUAUCAUAGAAGCUUCUAUUACUUUUUGAAACUUAAGAUUGGAACUCAUUUGUGUGUAUAUAUGUUUACCUGCUUUAACCCUGUAAAUAACUCCCAUUUCCUUUUCCUACUUAAUAAAUCUUUAGAUAGUUUAUUAUA